rnacentral:rRNA from 1 species
UUAAAACUUUCAACAACGGAUCUCUUGGUUCCGGCAUCGAUGAAGCACGCAGCGAAAUGCGAUACGUAAUGUGAAUUGCAAAUUCAGUGAAUCAUCGAGUCUUUGAACGCACAUGCGCCCCCUGGUAUUCCGGGGGGUAUGCCUGUCCGAGCGUCAUUGCUGCCCUCAAGCCCGGCUUGUGUGUUGGGCCCCGUCCUCCGAUUCCGGGGGAUCGGGCCCGAAAGGCAGCGGCGGCACCGCGUCCGGUCCUCGAGCGUAUGGGGCUUCGUCACCCGCUCUGUAGGCCCGGCCGGCGCUUGCCGAU